AAAAAAGGUAAGCUACUAAGAGCGAAUGGUGGAUGCCUUGACUGGUAAAGGCGAUGAAGGACGUACUAGACUGCGAUAAGCUACGGGGAGCUGUCAAGAAGCUUUGAUCCGUAGAUUUCCGAAUGGGGCAACCCAAUGUAUAGAGAUAUACAUUACCUAUAUAGGAGCGAACGAGGGGAAUUGAAACAUCUUAGUACCCUCAGGAAAAGAAAUCAAUAGAGAUUGCGUCAGUAGCGGCGAGCGAAAGCGCAAGAGGGCAAACCCAGUGCUUGCACUGGGGGUUGUAGGACUGCAAUGUGCAAGAGCUGAGUUUAGCAGAACAUUCUGGAAAGUAUAGCCAUAGAGGGUGAUAGUCCCGUAUGCGAAAAACAAAGCUUAGCUAGCAGUAUCCUGAGUAGGGCGGGACACGAGGAAUCCUGUCUGAAUCCGGGUCGACCACGAUCCAACCCUAAAUACUAAUACCAGAUCGAUAGUGCACAAGUACCGUGAGGGAAAGGUGAAAAGAACUGAGGUGAUCAGAGUGAAAUAGAACCUGAAACCAUUUGCUUACAAUCAUUCAGAGCACUAUGUAGCAAUACAGUGUGAUGGACUGCCUUUUGCAUAAUGAGCCUGCGAGUUGUGGUGUCUGGCAAGGUUAAGCAAACGCGAAGCCGUAGCGAAAGCGAGUCUGAAUAGGGCGCUUAGUCAGAUGCUGCAGACCCGAAACGAAGUGAUCUAUCCAUGAGCAAGUUGAAGCUAGUGUAAGAACUAGUGGAGGACUGAACCCAUAGGCGUUGAAAAGCCCCGGGAUGACUUGUGGAUAGGGGUGAAAGGCCAAUCAAACUUCGUGAUAGCUGGUUCUCUCCGAAAUAUAUUUAGGUAUAGCGUUGUGUCGUAAUAUAAGGGGGUAGAGCACUGAAUGGGCUAGGGCAUACACCAAUGUACCAAACCCUAUCAAACUCCGAAUACCUUAUAUGUAAUCACAGCAGUCAGGCGGCGAGUGAUAAAAUCCGUCGUCAAGAGGGAAACAACCCAGACUACCAGCUAAGGUCCCUAAGUCUUACUUAAGUGGAAAACGAUGUGAAGUUACUUAAACAACCAGGAGGUUGGCUUAGAAGCAGCCAUCCUUUAAAGAAAGCGUAAUAGCUCACUGGUCUAGUGAUUUUGCGCGGAAAAUAUAACGGGGCUAAAGUAAGUACCGAAGCUGUAGACUU
rnacentral:rRNA from 1 species